AAAGUCGUAACAAGGUUUCCGUAGGUGAACCUGCGGAAGGAUCAUUGACUAUUAUUGACGCCUAGCGUUGAUACAUUUGCGUUUAUCAUGUUUGACUAUAACUUUUAUUGAGCGUUAUAAAACUUUUAACAAUGGAUCUCUAGGCUCCU
rnacentral:misc_RNA from 1 species